rnacentral:misc_RNA from 1 species
GAAAUGCGAUAAGUAAUGUGAAUUGCAGAAUUCCGUGAAUCAUUAAAUCUUUGAACGCACAUUGCGCCCAUUGGUAUUCCGAUGGGCAUGUCUGUUUGAGAAUCAGUUUAAUAUCAUACCUAGAUUUUUGUUAAAAAAGUUUAGAGUGUGGAUUUGGGACUUUUCCAUUUUCAAUGGAGAGACCUUUAAAAUAUUUGCUGCUUGCUAAAGCUGGAAAGUAUGACUAAUGAACCUAGUUCAGAGAUUACUGAUAAAGGCUUUAGAUAAAAGUGGCCAAUAAAAAAAACACGAGGUUAAUAGCCUUAAGACAUGAUCUCAAAUCAGACAAGACUACCCGCUGAACUUAA